UUUUCGUACCACGGCGAGGCCGGAUUCCUGUUUUAUCAUGAAUAUUCAUUAGGCAGGGUCGGGGAAAGUCUCGAUUCUCUUAAAUAUUCAUAUCGAGGUGGGAAUGCACGACGCGCGCUAUACUCGCACAAAGUGAGAAGAUUUAGUUCACGGAGAAUGCAUAUGGAUUGAAACUGAAGAGCUGGAAGGAGGACAUUACAACAUCUCUUAUAUUUGCAAGAUGAAGCAGAAAGUCCCAUGCAGUGGAUGAUGAAGGCAUUCUGGUUUGCAAACUCAGGAGAGGAACAAAGAACAGAUGUUGACGGGAUCAUAUCUAGAGAUGCGGGCCUACUACACUUCAUACGAGCAAGUGUGCUAUUAUACAUGAAGGUACCCCCAAUAAAUUUUUGUGGAACAAAUGUCAUGGAGAAAAUUAUAGAUCUAAAACAGAUAUUUUUCAUUGUCAGUUGACUUGUAAAAGAAUAAUUGACUUAAUAUCACAAUUGUAAUUUAGAUUAAAAA